rnacentral:rRNA from 1 species
AUGCAAGUAAAGGUUAGGAUGUCAGAUCCUCAGAGUUGGUUUAUGCUAGAAGCUUACACUUUGCUGGAGUUGAAGACAUCAAGAGAAAUUGGGAAUCUGUUGGUAAGGAAACAUUCUUUUUAUCUUUCACUAGACAACACCGCAAACGAGUACACUUUUUUGAUAUCUACCUUUUCUUGUUAUCAAUAUUGUUUUUUUAGACUUGUGAUGUUAAUCAGUCUCGUGUCGUUAAGAUCUAUAAGCAAUUGUCAAAUAAGAAUGAACAAAAAAUGCCUACACAUAUUACCUUGCUACCAAACAUAUGAAAAGGAAUAUAAAAAAUCCAUUUGGUUGUUUGUCUUGUGUGUUGGUUUUUUUCUCUCCAUAAAAUUGGUCGUCAAACAUGUGUGUCAAUCCAACAAAUAUAUGAAUUUGUGGUACCAUAAUAUUAAUAAAAUAUGUUGCUGCACAUCAAAAUGUCUGAAUCUGUUGAGUAAUUGA